ensembl:lncRNA
UUUAAAGCUUUGCUGUACAUCUGAAUUCAGCAAGUUGCCGGAGGAAUGCAAAACACAGAAAGUGAAAAAACCUUAUUUCCCAUCCUUAUGCCUAGAUGUCAAAGAAAAGAAAGAUAGAUUUCAGUUCAAAGUUCUGCCAGAGUCCAGGGUCAUGAUUCUGCCCAUCAAUAAGAGAUCUUCAUCAAAAAAGAAAUCUGCCUCAUUUCCUCAUGCCAAAUUUCCUGAGGAGAUCCAAGGCCUAUGUAUCUUUGCUAAAAAUCUCCAUGAAAACUGGGAGAGGCAUCCUUGUUACCGGAUCCUAGCAAAGAAAAGCACUUGUGUUUCCCUUUUAAAGCUACCAAGGAGAAGACGAAGAAGGUCAUGAAAGGACUCCUUGUUUUGUUAGAGGAUGAGCAUUUUAGGUGAGAUAAGGAGAGGUCCUCAGAAGUUAUUGUAUCCACUUGCUUUGUGUAACAAACUAGUCUUGAACUACAUUAGAUUAAUUCCUUCAGAUAAAACUAAACCAGAAUUGUUGCUCUACAAGCACACCUGAAAUUUCCCACCAUAUCCAUAUGGAUAUUCAGUCUGUGGGAUGAGACUAGGAACACUUCAAAUUAUGAAGAGUGUACAGUAUUACAGUCCAAUUAAAUAUUAUUAAUUUUUGUAUUUAUUCUAUUCAGAAAGAUGGUAGGGAAUCUCCAUCCUUAGAAGCAGUUAAAAUAACUGUGCAAGUUACUUAGCAACCUGAUCUAUUUGGAUCUUCUUUAGAUAGGAUGCCGGGCUAGGUGACCUCCAGGGGCCUCUUUGAAUCUCAUUUAUUCUGUGACUCAUUAUCUUGCCUAUGAACUAAAUGCUACUGCUCUGUUCUGCUUGACAAUGUAGACAAAACCCUUGUAGACUUCAAGAACUUCUCUAUGUGCUGCCACAGUCUAUAUACUUCAUCACAACAAUGAUCUUGUAUAAAUCAUACAUUUAAUAUAAAUUUUAGAGAUAGCAAAUAAUAGAUGUGUAGUAAAUAAUGGAACUGGUAGAAGAGAGAAAUUUGGGAAUGAAAGGAUAAGGAACAGCAGUAUGUUCCAGUAAGUUUUUUUACGAAAAUAAAAUAAUCCAUAUUUCUUUGGACUUAUUCCAGAAUAGAAUGAAUCGAAUUCUUUUGAAGUCUAUCUUUUCUCACCUUAACCCUUAGCAAGUCAGUUUGUGAAAUACUAUUAAAUUUUAUUCAUAUCUAUCAUGAUCAUGGAUUCAAAGUCUGCCUUUAGAACAAUGAAUAGUAUCUUCCUUACUUUUAAAAUACAUAUUUAAAACAAAACAAUAUUCAACAUACUUGAAGCUAAUUAUUCAUAUUUCUUCUGUCUUCACUGAGUGCAAUAUACUCAAUGUCCUCUGAAU